AAGGGCACACGGAGGAUGCCUAGGCAACAGCAGCCGAUGAAGGACGUGAUAAGCUGCGAUAAGCCGGGAGGAGAUGCACAUAAUCGUUAAUCCCCGGAUCUCCGAAUGGGAAAACCUGCAUGCCUGGAGGGCAUGCGUGAAAACGGUA
rnacentral:rRNA from 1 species